GAUGAACGCUGGCGGCGUGCCUAAUACAUGCAAGUCGAACGCUUUGUGGUUCAACUGAUUUGAAGAGCUUGCUCAGAUAUGACGAUGGACAUUGCAAAGAGUGGCGAACGGGUGAGUAACACGUGGGAAACCUACCUCUUAGCAGGGGAUAACAUUUGGAAACAGAUGCUAAUACCGUAUAACAAUAACAACCGCAUGGUUGUUAUUUAAAAGAUGGUUCUGCUAUCACUAAGAGAUGGUCCCGCGGUGCAUUAGCUAGUUGGUAAGGUAAUGGCUUACCAAGGCGAUGAUGCAUAGCCGAGUUGAGAGACUGAUCGGCCACAAUGGGACUGAGACACGGCCCAUACUCCUACGGGAGGCAGCAGUAGGGAAUCUUCCACGAUGGGCGAAAGCCUGAUGGAGCAACGCCGCGUGUGUGAUGAAGGGUUUCGGCUCGUAAAACACUGUUGUAAGAGAAGAAUGACAUUGAGAGUAACUGUUCAAUGUGUGACGGUAUCUUACCAGAAAGGAACGGCUAAAUACGUGCCAGCAGCCGCGGUAAUACGUAUGUUCCAAGCGUUAUCCGGAUUUAUUGGGCGUAAAGCGAGCGCAGACGGUUAUUUAAGUCUGAAGUGAAAGCCCUCAGCUCAACUGAGGAAUUGCUUUGGAAACUGGAUGACUUGAGUGCAGUAGAGGAAAGUGGAACUCCAUGUGUAGCGGUGAAAUGCGUAGAUAUAUGGAAGAACACCAGUGGCGAAGGCGGCUUUCUGGACUGUAACUGACGUUGAGGCUCGAAAGUGUGGGUAGCAAACAGGAUUAGAUACCCUGGUAGUCCACACCGUAAACGAUGAGUGCUAGGUGUUUGAGGGUUUCCGCCCUUAAGUGCCGCAGCUAACGCAUUAAGCACUCCGCCUGGGGAGUACGACCGCAAGGUUGAAACUCAAAGGAAUUGACGGGGACCCGCACAAGCGGUGGAGCAUGUGGUUUAAUUCGAAGCAACGCGAAGAACCUUACCAGGUCUUGACAUCCCUUGACAACUCCAGAGAUGGAGCGUUCCCUUCGGGGACAAGGUGACAGGCGGUGCAUGGUUGUCGUCAGCUCGUGUCGUGAGAUGUUGGGUUAAGUCCCGCAACGAGCGCAACCCUUAUUACUAGUUGCCAGCAUUCAGUUGGGCACUCUAGUGAGACUGCCGGUGACAAACCGGAGGAAGGUGGGGAUGACGUCAAAUCAUCAUGCCCCUUAUGACCUGGGCUACACACGUGCUACAAUGGCGUAUACAACGAGUUGCCAACCCGCGAGGGUGAGCUAAUCUCUUAAAGUACGUCUCAGUUCGGAUUGUAGGCUGCAACUCGCCUACAUGAAGUCGGAAUCGCUAGUAAUCGCGGAUCAGCACGCCGCGGUGAAUACGUUCCCGGGUCU
rnacentral:rRNA from 1 species